rnacentral:lncRNA from 1 species
CGUUUAGCUGGCAGCUGCCGUUGUACCGACACCGUUUCCGCAGGUUCUGUGAUUCUGUUUCCCCUCACCCAGCUGCUGUCGAAAAUCAUUUCUUUCCUCCCAAUGUCUCCUGAUGACAAAGGAGUGCCACUACCUUCUCCUGGCUUCUUCUCCCAAGGGCCUUUCCUCAGAAAGGGUUAGGCCUCACUGAAGCAAUUCUCCAAAGGAGAUGGACGAAUGCAAACUUGGAAAUGUCUGGAGAAGUUUUCCAGUGCGGUAGCAAGCAGCCUUCCACUGUGCUGAGACACUGAUGGAGGGCAGGUGGAAACAGAGAGGAAGAGAAAGAGAGACGACUGCUUAAAGGAAAAGAGUUCCCAUGAUUGGGACUGACCUGCCAACCGGUCAGGAGACCUAGAGAGACAGGAAAGGGAAGGGUGGUGCAGAUACAAGGAAAUGCAAACCAAAGGAAUAUUCUUAAAAGUUGCAUGACUCUGGCCAUGUGAAUGAAUCUUUCUGUGCUGGAGUUUUCUCAUCUGUAAAAUGGGUUCAUUGCAACACCGACCUCACAGGGUUGUUGGGAGGAGUAAAUGCUUCGGACAGUGCAUGACAAUUAGUAAGCUCUUUCUAUUGUUAUUAUUCGUAUGAUUUAGGAUGGAAGGUUGAGGAAAAAUAAUAAAAUAAUUGUCUUAGUGUUUAGAAUUAAUUAAAAA